rnacentral:rRNA from 1 species
AUCCAGACUCCUACGGGAGGCAGCAGUGGGGAAUAUUGCACAAUGGGGGAAACCCUGAUGCAGCGACGCCGCGUGAGUGAAGAAGUAUUUCGGUAUGUAAAGCUCUAUCAGCAGGGAAGAAAAUGACGGUACCUGACUAAGAAGCCCCGGCUAACUACGUGCCAGCAGCCGCGGUAAUACGUAGGGGGCAAGCGUUAUCCGGAUUUACUGGGUGUAAAGGGAGCGUAGACGGCAUGGCAAGUCAGAUGUGAAAGCCCGGGGCUCAACCCCGGGACUGCAUUUGAAACUGUCAGGCUGGAGUGCAGGAGAGGUAAGUGGAAUUCCUAGUGUAGCGGUGAAAUGCGUAGAUAUUAGGAGGAACACCAGUGGCGAAGGCGGCCUGCUGGGCUUUUACUGACGCUGAGGCUCGAAAGUGUGGGGAGCAAACAGGAUUAGAUACCCGAGUA